UACGAAGGGGGCGAGCGUUGUUCGGAUUUACUGGGCGUAAAGGGCGCGCAGGCGGCGGACAAAGUCAGGCGUGAAAGCCCCGGGCUCAACCUGGGAACCGCGCUUGAGACUGGCAUGCUCGAGUUCGGGAGAGGAUGGUGGAAUUCCCAGUGUAGAGGUGAAAUUCGUAGAUAUUGGGAAGAACACCGAUGGCGAAGGCAGCCAUCUGGACCGACACUGACGCUGAGGCGCGAAAGCGUGGGGAGCAAACAGG
rnacentral:rRNA from 1 species